rnacentral:rRNA from 1 species
GUAGCUAUGUGUGGACGGGAUAAGUGCUGAAAGCAUCUAAGCAUGAAGCCCCCCUCAAGAUGAGAUUUCCCAACUUCGGUUAUAAGAUCCCUCAAAGAUGAUGAGGUUAAUAGGUUCGAGGUGGAAGCAUGGUGACAUGUGGAGCUGACGAAUACUAAUCGAUCGAAGACUUAAUCAA